rnacentral:rRNA from 1 species
GGAGUUUGGGCCGUGUCUCAGUCCCAAUGUGGCUGUCCGACCUCUCAGUCCGGCUACAGAUCGUCGCCUUGGUAAGCCGUUACCUUACCAACUAGCUAAUCUGACGCGGGCCCAUCUCAUACCACCGGAGUUUUUCACACAGGGUCAUGCGACUCCGUGCGCUUAUGCGGUAUUAUCAGUCGUUUCCAACUGCUAUCCCCCAGUAUGAGGCAGGUUGCCCACGCGUUACUCACCCGUCCGCCACUAAGAUUUAACAAGAAUCCGCCGAAGCCUCAUCAGCGUUAAAUCUCCGUUCGACUUGCAUGUGUUAGGCACGCCGCCAGCGUUCAUC